rnacentral:snRNA from 1 species
AAAGUAGCGACAGUUGCCAGCGA